UUCGGUGAAAUAAUGAAGUUUUUCGACUUCGAUCGGACUUAUAUCUGCUGUGCGAUAAGUCUUUUAAAUUAUGUUUUUUACUGAUUGAUUUGUCAUGAUUUGAAAAUCUUAUCGCAGAUACAAUUCCGAUUGAAAAAAUUAUUGAUUUUUACUAGAGUCCUAAGAUCAUACGCUACACAUUGGCAUUGUGUUUGGUCAAAAUCUGUCGAAUUAAAAUUUAAUGAUUUUUUAGAUGACAGUCCACGAUUUAAGCAUUUAGCGAUUAGCGUUAGUGUAACCGUCUUUACAUUUUGCGUCGAAAAGUCUGACGUUACCUAAU